rnacentral:sRNA from 1 species
GCUUAUUUCUUUUUGAUCAACUGGAAUUCGUUCCUAAGCAUUCCCGCACCCAGAAUGUGUUCGAUGGAAUGCUUGAUCCACUAGUUCCUGAGAUAUUCGUCUCUCUCCCAAGGGAUUGGCCGUUUAGAGCGUUUAUUGACUUUAUCAGUUUGUUCUUAUUGCCUGCAUAGUUAGAUUCCGUUAAUGGGAAUUAGUCUAGGCUAGCUUUGCUUGAGGAUUUCUAUCACGGGAGUGAAUUAAUCUCUUGUUGAACUUGUUGUUUAGGGAUAGCUUGAUUGCACUUGUUAACCAUUCGAAUAGGCUAGGAUACCACUCUAUUCGAUUACCCCAUCCUUAGGAAUUUUUCGUCUAUCUGAUUUCUCUGUUUUAUCGUUAUCACUUAAUCGUUCUCAUUGCCUAUUUCUUAGUUUUUGCAAUUACUCGACCAACUUACUCGACCACACCAAGUGUCUGGCAACAGACUGUGCAGUCGAGUACAGUUGUCUCGUUUCCUGUCUGUUACUCGACCAGUAUACUCGACCACACCUAGUGUCUGGCUACAGACUGUGCAGUCGAGUAUAGUUGGUUCAAAUCGUGUCUUUUACUCGACCUGUUACUCGACCACAUCUUACUUCUGGCAUCAGCCUGUUGUGGUCGAGUGAUUUUAGUAAUUCUGUUAUUGUUUCUGUUUUUUGCAUGUUCGCUUAGGACUGUUAGAAACCCCAAUACUGUUAUUGCUUGGCUUGACUUAGUGACUUCUGAUCACAUCUCAUCUGUUUGCAUCAUA